rnacentral:rRNA from 1 species
UACGUAGGGUGCAAGCGUUGUCCGGAAUUAUUGGGCGUAAAGGGCUCGUAGGCGGUUUGUCGCGUCGGGAGUGAAAUCCACUGGCUUAACUGGUGGCUUGCUUUCGAUACGGGCAGACUGGAGGUAUGCAGGGGAGAACGGAAUUCCUGGUGUAGCGGUGAAAUGCGCAGAUAUCUGGAGGAACACCGGUGGCGAAGGCGGCAUCCUGGACCGGCAUUGACGCUGAGGAGCGAAAGCCAGGGGAGCAAACGGG